GACGAACGCUGGCGGCGUGCCUAAUACAUGCAAGUCGAGCGGAUCUUCAUUAGCUUGCUUUUGAAGAUCAGCGGCGGACGGGUGAGUAACACGUGGGCAACCUGCCUGUAAGACUGGGAUAACUUCGGGAAACCGGAGCUACUACCGGAUAAUCCUUUUCCUCUCAUGAGGAAAAGCUGAAAGACGGUUUCGGCUGUCACUUACAGAUGGGCCAGGGGCGCAGUAGCUAGUUGGUGAGGUAACGGCUCACCAAGGCGACGAUGCGUAGCCGACCUGAGAGGGGGAUGGGCCACACUGGGACUGAGACACGGCGCAGACGCCUACGGGAGGCAGCAGUAGGGAAUCUUCCGCAAUGGACGAAAGUCUGACGGAGCAACGCCGCGUGAGCGAUGAAGGCCUUGGGGUCGUAAAGCUCUGUUGUCAGGGAAGAACAAGUACCGGAGUCACUGCCGGUACCUUGACGGUACCUGACCAGAAAGCCACGGCUAACUACGUGCCAGCAGCCGCCGUAAUAC
rnacentral:rRNA from 1 species